UUUAUCUGCUGGUUCCGGAGGGUAGACUGUGCCUCCCUGCCACCUGUUGGCUCUCCACCUUUACCCUUAUUUUACAAACCCCACGGAAGCAGGCUAGGAUGCGAUCAGUGCCUGGUGGGGUUGGGGGUGGGCCACAGAGGGGGCCCGCAGGCCUUAGUCAUUCCUUCAGACAAUUGUGGAUUGAAGAAAAAAAAAGAUACAAAAACUCAACAAGUGGUUUGUACUUCUUUAAGUCUGACCAAGUUGGACAAAGACUCCAGUCUCUUCGCCUUUCUACACCAGUGCUCCAGCUUACAGAAGGAUGACACAGGACCAGGGACUUGGCUCAGUGGGUAGAGGCCUUUGCUAAGAAGUCUGAUGACCUGAGUUUAGUCUCCACACGCUGGAAGGAAAGAACAUUCCUGGGUGUGGCCCCUUUCCCUUUACACACUGCUACCCACGUGUGUACACAUACACGUGCAGCGAGAAAAUAAACACCAAGAGGACAGGUGACAUCCUAGCAGCCACCCUUUUCUGGUCUUAGGAGACACAUUCUACUCUCCUGGAAAACUGACCUCCUUACCUCCCUACACACAGGGUGGGGGGGCACUAAGAGGCUCAAGGUAGAGAAAACUGGGUUAGGGCUCAUUAGCAGAAAUAACAGCUAUUCCUGUUCUCAAACUUGACUGGAAGACUGAAGCAACCUUGGGAAAGCUGGAGGAGCCAUGGAUGGACGUGAGGCUCCACAUCUGGACGAUCCCAGGUUUCCACAUCUGGGAGCCCUGCAAUGGAGACGUGUUGCUCCUCACUGGCCGCGUGCCUGAUUAUCUUGAUAGGAACCAUCUUUAGAAAUGAGACCUCCGGUGCCAGCAGAUGAAGGUUCCAGAGCGUUGGCCCCACAGAACAGUAAUAAAGUAGGAGCAGGAUGAACCUCUCUGAUUCAAAUCCUUCCCUCUCUGGAUGCCCUUCCUAGAGUAUCUGGUUGGUCUCCGCCAGCUUGGAAGAUAGAAAUACAUAUCUUAUGAAUCUAGUUGCAUUUAAAAAAAAUUACUGCUACAUUUACAAAUAGUUCAUAUGUUUCCUGGUCAUUUAUACUUACGUUGUACCACACAUCCAUACUGGGUGCCCUGCUCUAAUGUCUUUUUCCUAUUGAUUCCUACUGUCAUGAACCUGAGUCUGAUACUGUUUAGUUCUCUCAAUUUACUAUGGGUCUAUUGUGCAUUUCAUGUACAAAAUAUUUCCAGUCACAUUUUCAAAUCUUUCCUCUAUGAUGUAUGAUUUAUUUGUUAAACUGGAAUUUGAUAAUGGUUUUAGAAAUAUAAAACUCUAUC